rnacentral:lncRNA from 1 species
CCACCAGAAUGACACCAAGAAGAACUCUUUAGAUAUCUCACAAUCUAAGAUUUGAUUUUUGGCUCCAACACAUAAAAAAACCAAAUCCUAGGACACAUAAGUAACACUUGUUAAAAAUCUCACCACCCUUCUUGCAACUUUUGCCACUCAAUUUUCCCUUGCCUUUUUCUCAAAUUUUUUCCAAAAUUUCUUUUAUAAUUUCUCCAUCCC